GCUGGCGGCGUGCCUAACACAUGCAAGUCGAACGGGGUGAUCCUUCGGGGUCACUUAGUGGCGAACGGGUGAGUAACGCGUGAGAAACCUGCCUCUCAGUGGGGGACAACAGUUGGAAACGACUGCUAAUACCGCAUAAUGUAUCCGGAGGGCAUCCUCUGGAUACCAAAGCUUUAUGUGCUGAGAGAUGGUCUCGCGUCUGAUUAGCUAGUUGGCGGGGUAACGGCCCACCAAGGCGACGAUCAGUAGCCGGUCUGAGAGGAUGAACGGCCACAUUGGGACUGAGAUACGGCCCAGACUCCUACGGGAGGCAGCAGUGGGGAAUAUUGGGCAAUGGGCGAAAGCCUGACCCAGCAACGCCGCGUGAAGGAAGAAGGCCUUCGGGUUGUAAACUUCUUUUAGCAGGGACGAAGGACGUGACGGUACCUGCAGAAAAAGCAACGGCUAACUACGUGCCAGCAGCCGCGGUAAUACGUAGGUUGCAAGCGUUGUCCGGAUUUACUGGGUGUAAAGGGCGUGUGGGCGGAGAUGCAAGUUGGGAGCGAAAUCCCGGGGCUCAACCCCGGAACUGCUUCCAAAACUGUAUCCCUUGAGUAUCGGAGAGGCAAGCGGAAUUCCUAGUGUAGCGGUGAAAUGCGUAGAUAUUAGGAGGAACACCAGUGGCGAAGGCGGCUUGCUGGACGACAACUGACGCUGAGGCGCGAAAGCGUGGGGAGCAAACAGGAUUAGAUACCCUGGUAGUCC
rnacentral:rRNA from 1 species